rnacentral:rRNA from 1 species
CCUACGGGCGGCAGCAGUGAGGAAUAUUGGUCAAUGGACGAGAGUCUGAACCAGCCAAGUAGCGUGAAGGAUGACUGCCCUAUGGGUUGUAAACUUCUUUUAUAUGGGAAUAAAAUGUUCCACGUGUGGGAUUUUGUAUGUACCAUAUGAAUAAGGAUCGGCUAACUCCGUGCCAGCAGCCGCGGUAAUACGGAGGAUCCGAGCGUUAUCCGGAUUUAUUGGGUUUAAAGGGAGCGUAGGUGGAUUGUUAAGUCAGUUGUGAAAGUUUGCGGCUCAACCGUAAAAUUGCAGUUGAAACUGGCAGUCUUGCGUACAGUAGAGGUGGGCGGAAUUCGUGGUGUAGCGGUGAAAUGCUUAGAUAUCACGAAGAACUCCGAUUGCGAAGGCAGUUCACUGGACUGCAACUGACACUGAGGCUCGAAAGUGUGGGUAUCAAACAGGAUUAGAUACCCUUGUAGUC